rnacentral:rRNA from 1 species
GAUGAACGCUAGCUACAGGCUUAACACAUGCAGGUCGAGGGGUAACGAGAGGGAAGCUUGCUUUCCUUGUCGACGACCGGCGGAUGGGUGAGUAACGCGUAUCCAACCUGCCCUUCAGUAAGGGAUAGCCUUUCGAAAGAAAGAAUAAUACCUUAUGUGAUCGUCUGAUGACAUCAGACGACGAUGAAAGAUUUAUCGCUGAAGGAUGGGGAUGCGUCCCAUUAGGCAGUAGGCGGGGUAACGGCCCACCUAACCUACGAUGGGUAGGGGUUCUGAGAGGAAGGUCCCCCACAUUGGAACUGAGACACGGUCCAAACUCCUACGGGAGGCAGCAGUGAGGAAUAUUGGUCAAUGGCCGUAAGGCUGAACCAGCCAAGUAGCGUGCAGGAUGACGGCCCUAUGGGUUGUAAACUGCUUUUAAACGGGGAUAAAGUGAGCCACGUGUGGUUUAUUGCAGGUACCGUUUGAAUAAGGACCGGCUAAUUCCGUGCCAGCAGCCGCCGUAA